rnacentral:rRNA from 1 species
UACGUAGGGGGCAAGCGUUGUCCGGAUUUAUUGGGCGUAAAGAGCGUGUAGGCGGCCAGACAGGUCCGUUGUGAAAACUCGAGGCUCAACCUCGAGACGCCGAUGGAAACCGUCUGGCUAGAGUCCGGAAGAGGAGAGUGGAAUUCCUGGUGUAGCGGUGAAAUGCGCAGAUAUCAGGAAGAACACCCGUGGCUAAGGCGGCUCUCUAGUACGGUACUGACGCUGAGACGCGAAAAGCGUGGGGGAGCGAACAGG